AAAGGAAUAGACGGGGGCCCGCACAAGCAGUGGAGUAUGUGGUUUAAUUCGAGGCAACGCGAAGAACCUUACCAGGGCUUGACAUCCCUCGGAUUACGUAGAAAUACGUAAGACCUUCGGGACGAGGAGACAGGUGGUGCAUGGUUGUCGUCAGCUCGUGUCGUGAGAUGUUGGGUUAAGUCCCGCAACGAGCGCAACCCCUGUUGUUAGUUGCCAUCAAGUAAAGUUGGGCACUCUAACAAGACUGCCGGUGACAAAUCGGAGGAAGGUGGGGACGACGUCAAAUCAUCAUGCCCCUUAUGUCCUGGGCUACACACGUACUACAAUGGCUACUACAGAGGGCAGCGAAGCUGUGAAGUGAAGCGAAUCCCAGAAAAGUAGUCUCAGUUCGGAUUGUGGUCUGCAACUCGACCACAUGAAGCAGGAAUUGCUAGUAAUGGCAGGUCAGCAUACUGCCGUGAAUACGUUCCCGGGCCUUGUACACACCGCCCGU
rnacentral:rRNA from 1 species